UACGUAGGGUGCGAGCGUUUGUCCGGAAUUAUUGGGCGUAAAGGGCUCGUAGGCGGUUUGUCGCGUCGGGAGUGAAAACUCAGGGCUUAACCCUGAGCCUGCUUCCGAUACGGGCAGACUAGAGGUAUGCAGGGGAGAACGGAAUUCCUGGUGUAGCGGUGAAAUGCGCAGAUAUCAGGAGGAACACCGGUGGCGAAGGCGGGUCUCUGGGCCGAUACUGACGCUGAGGAGCGAAAGCGUGGGGAGCGAACAGG
rnacentral:rRNA from 1 species